rfam:Lysinibacillus xylanilyticus strain DSM 23493 Scaffold6, whole genome shotgun sequence.
AAAAAUACAUUGAAGAGAAAAGUAAAUAAGGCUGUUCUUCCCAGAGAGCUCGGAUUGCUGAAAACGAGUAAGAACGAAUUAUUGAAACAAGCCUCGGAGUAGCGCAUUGGAUUUCUGAUUGAAUGAUGGUGCGACGGGAACUCCCGUUACAGAGUAACAGUAUAAGCAUAAGAAUUUAUGCCGUACUGAAAAGGCUAUUAUGGUGACAUAAUAGCGAACUAGGGUGGCACCACGUGAGUAUAAAUUCCACAAUCUCGUCCCUAAG